UGAACGCUGGCGGAAUGCUUUACACAUGCAAGUCGAACGGCAGCACGGAGAGCUUGCUCUCUGGUGCGAGUGGCGAACGGGUGAGUAAUAUAUCGGAACGUGUCCAAUAAUGGGGGAUAACGAGUCGAAAGAUUCGCUAAUACCGCAUACGCCUACGGGGGAAAGCAGGGAUCGCAAGACCUUGCGCGAAUGGAGCGGCCGAUGGCAGAUUAGGUAGUUGGUGAGGUAAAGGCUCACCAAGCCUUCGAUCUGUAGCUGGUCUGAGAGGACGACCUGCCACACUGGGACUGAGACACGGCCCAGACUCCUACGGGAGGCAGCAGUGGGGAAUUUUGGACAAUGGGCGCAAGCCUGAUCCAGCCAUGCCGCGUGCAGGAUGAAGGCCUCGG
rnacentral:rRNA from 1 species